rnacentral:miRNA from 1 species
AUCCCAACUGCUAUUCAUUCAUUUAUUCAUUCAAUAAAGAAACAUUUAUUGAAUAAAUUAAUGAAUGAAUAGCAGUUGGGAU